rnacentral:rRNA from 1 species
GCAGGCUGCAACCCGCCUGCAUGAAGUUGGAAUCGCUAGUAAUCGCGGAUCAGCAUGCCGCGGUGAAUACGUUCCCGGGCCUUGUACACACCGCCCGUCACACCAUGAGAGUCGGGAACACCCGAAGUCCGUAGUCUGACCGCAAGGGGGACGCGGCCGAAGGUGGGUUCGAUAAUUGGGGUGAAGUCGUAACAAGGUAAC